rnacentral:rRNA from 1 species
UACGAAGGGUGCAAACGUUGCUCGGAAUCAUUGGGCGUAAAGCGCACGUAGGCGGCGCAGUAAGUCGGACGUGAAAUCCCUCGGCUCAACCGAGGACGUGCAUCCGAAACUACUGUGCUCGAGUAUGGAAGAGGGUCGCGGAAUUCUCGGUGUAGAGGUGAAAUUCGUAGAUAUCAGGAGGAACACCAGUGGCGAAGGCGGCGACCUGGGCCAAUACUGACGCUGAGGUGCGAAAGCGUGGGGAGCAAACAGG